rnacentral:rRNA from 1 species
UACAGAGGUGGCAAGCGUUGUUCGGAAUUACUGGGCGUAAAGGGCGCGUAGGCGGCCCACUAAGUCAGACGUGAAAUCCCCCGGCUUAACCUGGGAACUGCCUUUGAUACUGAAGAUCUUGAGUUCGGGAGAGGUGAGUGGAACUGCGAGUGUAGAGGUGAAAUUCGUAGAUAUUCGCAAGAACACCAGUGGCGAAGGCGGCUCACUGGCCCGAUACUGACGCUGAGGCACGAAAGCGUGGGGAGCAAACAGG